rnacentral:miRNA from 6 species
CUUGGAUUGAAGGGAGCUCCU